UGCNAGUCGAGGGGUAUAAGGAGCUUGCUCCUUAGAGACCGGCGCACGGGUGCGUAACGCGUAUGCAAUCUGCCUUUCACAAAGGGAUAGCCCAGAGAAGUUUGGAUUAAUACCUUAUAGUAUAUGGAUGUGGCAUCACAAUCAUAUUAAAGAUUUAUCGGUGAAAGAUGAGCAUGCGUCCCAUUAGCUUGUUGGUAAGGUAACGGCUUACCAAGGCUACGAUGGGUAGGGGUCCUGAGAGGGAGAUCCCCCACACUGGUACUGAGACACGGACCAGACUCCUACGGGAGGCAGCAGUGAGGAAUAUUGGACAAUGGGCGCAAGCCUGAUCCAGCCAUGCCGCGUGCAGGAUGACGGUCCUAUGGAUUGUAAACUGCUUUUAUACGGGAAGAAACCCUGGAACGUGUUCCAGAUUGACGGUACCGUAAGAAUAAGGAUCGGCUAACUCCGUGCCAGCAGCCGCGGUAAUACGGAGAAUCCAAGCGUUAUCCGGAAUCAUUGGGUUUAAAGGGUCCGUAGGCGGGCUUGUAAGUCAGUGGUGAAAUCUCCCGGCUCAACCGGGAAAUUGCCAUUGAUACUGCAAGUCUGGAAUUAUUGGGAAGUAACUAGAAUAUGUAGUGUAGCGGUGAAAUGCUUAGAGAUUACAUGGAAUACCAAUUGCGAAGGCAGGUUACUAUCGAUAUAUUGACGCUGAUGGACGAAAG
rnacentral:rRNA from 1 species